UGGGCGGAACUGCCUCAUUACUUUUGAUGACUCUGCUUUUGAACCCAGGCGCCCUUCCUCGCCCCGAAACCCUCCGUCGCCCACUCACUCACUGGCGCGCUCCGGGCACAGCUUCUUUAAGAUCCUGGUGUCAGGGCCAUGGUGCUUUCGUUUGGGGAGCUGUGAUCCGGGGCAUGACAUGAUGAAUGAGAAUUAGGUGGAAGAGAAAGAAAUGCCAGGCUGGGUAGAGGCCUGCUCCUAGGAAGACUGACUGUGGCUGCUGCUCUUUUAUGGCACAAGGCAGCUGGACAAAGCUCAAGUGGGUACCUAGGCUUCUGCCUUCCUCCUUGGUACUUAGGAGCUUCGUAGCAUCCUCUCUCAUGACCUUCUCCUUCCUUACUCACACCUUCUGACCAGAAGCAGUGCACCCGCUGUGGUAGAUUCUGCUUCUUAUAAAAAGGAGCUUUUCUGAAUUUCUGUUUACGAGGCUGCCUGGCAUCCCCAUACACCAUCCCCCAAAUGUACUAACAACCAAUACGUGACUUUUUCUUCUUUUAUUGUUUGUGGAAGAGACCAGCCUGAACCAAGCGUGCGGAGAGAUGGGUGGGGAAGAGCCAGGGGACCGGAGGGUAGGACGCGCGCUUCUAAAGAAGAAUAUCAAACUAAAAACCAACCAACCAAACAAAACCGAUCCUUUUCUAGUCAAAAUACCUGGAGAUGUCAUCGCUCACUGAACCAGAGAUCGCUAUCAAUUACCUUCCUAAGGAUGCCAACUGGAGCGCACCCCUCCCCCGUGUGGAUGAGGAUUGAUGUCUCCCUUCGUGAGUAAGUAAAGAAGACAGAUGCAGCUGGCAGCGGUCAUGACCCACAUCAUCCACGUGCCUAUAGCCUUCUUAGAACAUCACUUCAUAGAUUUUCUUGUUUACUCACUCAGUGGGGAAUAGUAAAAUAUCAGUGAGAGUUUGAGUCAUCCCUCUGCCCCCCAUCCUUCUCUCACCCUAAAUGCCAUGAUAAAGUGUUCUUUAACCCAGAAAUAAAGAAUUAUCUUAGUGAUCUGUUUUUUUUUCUCAAAGUAUUGUCAACAGAAG